UGGGGAAUAUUGGACAAUGGGCGAAAGCCUGAUCCAGCCAUGCCGCGUGUGUGAAGAUGGUCUUCGGAUUGUAAAGCACUUUAAGUUGGGAGGAAGGGCAGUAAGCGAAUACCUUGCUGUUUUGACGUUACCGACAGAAUAAGCACCGGCUAACUCUGUGCCAGCAGCCGCGGUAAUACAGAGGGUGCAAGCGUUAAUCGGAAUUACUGGGCGUAAAGCGCGCGUAGGUGGUUCGUUAAGUUGAAUGUGAAAGCCCCGGGCUCAACCUGGGAACUGCAUCCAAAACUGGCGAGCUAGAGUAGGGCAGAGGGUGGUGGAAUUUCCUGUGUAGCGGUGAAAUGCGUAGAUAUAGGAAGGAACACCAGUGGCGAAGGCGACCACCUGGGCUCAUACUGACACUGAGGUGCGAAAGCGUGGGGAGCAAACAGG
rnacentral:rRNA from 1 species